CAUUAAGGUGAGCAGUACAUGCAUAGCUUUUGGGGGAGAGGGGAAUCCCAGCCCUUAGCUCACCUCUUAGCCUCUGGAAAAGCACGUGGUGGUGCGUGUCAUGUAAAAGCUCUGUUGUCCUCAUCCUGUGCUCACAUAUCCUCUUCCCAGUGUAGUGGCAAGUUCCAAAGCACCACCUUGGUGUACUCCAGGAGGUGUUACCAUGUCCAUAGGUUUUGUGCCGGGUGAGAAGUUUUCCCUGUGUUUAGAACAGAAAUAUUCCAUUUGAUUUCAGUGCACCUUGUGAUGAGCCUUCCCUUUAAUAAUCUUUCAUUCCCACCUCUUCAUGUUCCAAAAUGGAAAUCUACUGGAAGGGAAGCUGACUUGAAACCUCUUGCCCAGAAGAUGACCACCACCAGGGCCGUGCUGGGGUUGGGUGCUGGUGUGGCUGGCUCACACUUUACCACCAUGCAUUCAAUACUGGAUGAUGUUGGAGGACUUCUCCCAUGCCUUGCCCCCUUAGCACCCAUGGGGAGGGGAAGGUCAGCCAUGAUACAGGCACCCAAAUGUGUCUGGAAUUUGUAGUGUGAGACCAGAAAUUCAGACUUUAUUUAUCUCUCUGUGUUAAUUUACUCUUUCAACAGCAUCUUGAGUGUAGAGUAAUCCUGUAGGGAUGUGAGCUCCAGAUCCCACAGUGUUCAAAACGAAGCAAACCAGCACGUUUUGAUGUUCCCAGUGUUGUUGCUGCUGACCAUCAGUUGGUUCCUCAGCAGCUGGGUGCUGCUUCCUGGCCACAGAUAGGGUAUGCAGCUGAGAGCAUCCAGUGAUCUGUAUUGCAGAGAAUCAGAAAAUGGGAGUUCUGGCCCCAAAAUCAAUAGUAUGGGGUAAUAUUUGGGUGGAAAAGCUUCUGUUUGUGGGAUUUGCUGACCACCACCCCUCAACAUGGGAGCAGGGCAGAGGAAAAGCACUGAGGCUAGGGGCCAGGGCUGUGCAUGUUGCUGUUGUUACUGGUGGAGUCCAGAGUCUUGGGCCCUUAAAUC